rnacentral:sRNA from 1 species
UAACACCAUGAAGCUCUUGAGGUGUUUAUAUGAUUCGCCUGGCAGAGCAUGAACAACAGCAGAAUCAUUUGCAAGUGAAGAAACACCGGACGUUAGUGAACAACAAGGAAUAGAAUUGGAAGAACAUAGUAGUUACUUACUAUUAUUGUUGUCUGACUGGUGUUACUAGUAGUUAUCACCAGCAAGUUGACUCCCAUCUGCAAGACAUUUUUCAUUCCAGAGAGAGGGAAGAAAAGAGCCAAAUAUUGGGUACCACUCUGCUGACUGGUAUUGUCAGGGUCCACGACUUUGAUGCGGGCUGGGCAGCGUGCGGCGUUUCUCAGUAGAAAAAGUGGAAGCAGUUGACUGUAGUCAUCGCCCUGGACGGGCUCACUUUGUUCUUAUGUCUCCUCAUCGAAACUGUGCACGGCUAGAGAAAGAGAUGGAAGAAAAGGAAAAAGAAA